CCAAUCAUAGGAAUCCUGGAGCAGAGUCCACAAGGUUCACGGAACACUAUGGCUCAGACGCAAAACAAAUAGACAAACAUGCUCACACAUUUACACACACAACCGCUGAACUCAUGGAGAGAAUAUCAUAUGAGAGACUCCGUGACACACUGUAAAUCCUCUCCUUGAGUCCUACUACUAAAAACAGUGUAUUUUACAAGCAGGUCACAUAGAGUUAAAGUAUCAAUCUUCUACAGACUUGCAGUGAUUAAGGUCCCUUUUCCUCCCUCAUGAAACUCAUGAAUGCUUUUCUAAGGCAGGGUGUAACCAUGCCUGUUCAAAGUCUUCCAGGUCUUUGUUGUAGCGUUUCAAACAAUAUCACUCUCCCUCAACUGAGGAUGGGACAGGAGGCUGUGGAACAAUGGUUCUCAACCAGGGGAGCUAGAACACCUAGUGGGCCUUACAGAGAUCUGACGGGUCUAUGGAAAAGCAUGGAAAAACAUGAACUAACAUGCCAACAUGAAUAGAAAAACAUCAGCAACAAGAACAUAAUAUUUUAUGGAAGAGCACUGUUAGUUGUUUUAAGGGGGUCUCCACAUUUGAGGGGUGUCUCAGUAGGCCCCCCAGAGGAAAGGUUGAGAACCCAUGGCAGCCAUAGAAACUGAUCCUGAUUGGUGGAGAAUACUGCGAGCAACAACCCAUCUGAGGUUUAGAAAGAGGGAGGAGAGGAAGGAGAAGAGGACCAGACAAGAUAUUCACAUUGUAGUCAUGUCACACACUCUUAUCCAGAGAAACAUACAAUAAGUGCAUUAAUAAUCUCUGACCAGUCUUACCUCGUCUCUGUCCCACACUGGCCUUGACACAUGGGCAGCUGUAGUGUUGCUGUGCAGUUGUCUACAGUGAUGUUCACACUAGAAACCCUGGUAGCACAAGUCUGGUUACCUGGGGUAGAGAGAACGGCAGUGGGUGAGUGGAAAAAAAUGCAUCAACCUCAUCAUCACAGUUUUUUCUCUGAACUAAAGGUUUCUAUGUUGAAAACUUUAACAAUUGUUUUAACAGAGGACUGACAAACAAAAUACUAAAAUAGUUUUUUUUGUGAACUAACCCUUUAACACAGUUCAGAGUUACAUUGUAAAUAAUCUUCCCUUGGAGCUAUAAGCAGUAGAUUCAGACUAGGAAACAUUCUAUUGUUGUUGAUUUUCUAGUCUCUCCUUGCAGUGGAAACAUCCACAGUGAAUAAGUGAACCACCUCAGUUCAACCACUAGAUGUCCGACUCUCCAUCUCUUCAUGGUCAGUGUGACCAGAUAUGAUCAUUUACCUACAACACAGACUGGAGAUAAGAGUUAGCUUACAUGUGUAGCAGCAAUGUUGUUCGUCCCAUACUCUGUCCUCCUAGAAACAAAAAAGUUACAUUGAAAAGAAUGUCCUGUAGCUCCAUACGUUGUGACAGCUGUUGACGUAAAAAUGUCUUCAUAAAUACAUUUGAUUGAUACAGAGAAAGAGCAGCAGGUACCUCUGAGCAGUUCUGAUGGGGACACACCCUUCUCACUGUCUGAGUGCCUUCUCUGGUACAGCUAUAGGACUCACAGGGCAGGGCAAGGUCUGUCCAUCUGUCUCCCACCUAACCAAACAGGCACAUAGACAUCAGACAAUGAAGAGCUGCCAAUGUGUACAAA